rnacentral:rRNA from 1 species
GGAAUCCGAAAGGUGACCGACCCUUCGGGGAGCUUGCACAGGUGCUGCAUGGCUGUCGUCAGCUCGUGUCGUGAGAUGUUCGGUUAAGUCCGCUAACGAGCGCAACCCUCGUCGUGUGUUAUACGUGUCACACGAUACUGCCGGUAUCAAGCCGGAGGAAGGUGGGGAUGAUGUCAAGUCAGCAUGGCCUUUAUAUCCUGGGCGUACACACACGCUACAAUGGCAGAUACAAUAGGUUGCGAAACCGCGAGGUGGAGCCAAUCCUCAAAGUACUGUACUCAGUUCAGAUUGUAGGCUGCAACUCGCCUGCAUGAAGUUGGAGUUGCUAGUAAACGCAGGUCAGCUAUACUGCGUUGAAUACGUUCCCGGGGUUU